AUGAACGCUGGCGGCGUGCCUAAUACAUGCAAGUCGAGCGAACUGAUGAGGAGCUUGCUCCUCUGACGUUAGCGGCGGACGGGUGAGUAACGCGUGGAUAACCUACCUAUAAGACUGGGAUAACUUCGGGAAACCGGAGCUAAUACCGGAUAAUAUAUUGAACCGCAUGGUUCAAUAGUGAAAGACGGUUUUGCUGUCACUUAUAGAUGGAUCCGCGCCGCAUUAGCUAGUUGGUAAGGUAACGGCUUACCAAGGCAACGAUGCGUAGCCGACCUGAGAGGGUGAUCGGCCACACUGGAACUGAGACACGGUCCAGACUCCUACGGGAGGCAGCAGUAGGGAAUCUUCCGCAAUGGGCGAAAGCCUGACGGAGCAACGCCGCGUGAGUGAUGAAGGUCUUCGGAUCGUAAAACUCUGUUAUUAGGGAAGAACAAAUGUGUAAGUAACUAUGCACGUCUUGACGGUACCUAAUCAGAAAGCCACGGCUAACUACGUG
rnacentral:rRNA from 1 species